CCUACGGGUGGCAGCAGUGAGGAAUAUUGGUCAAUGGACGAGAGUCUGAACCAGCCAAGUAGCGUGAAGGAUGAAUGCCCUAUGGGUUUUAAACUUCUUUUAUAGAGGAAUAAACUGAGGCACGUGUGCAUUUUUGCAUGUACUUUAUGAAUAAGGAUCGGCUAACUCCGUGCCAGCAGCCGCGGUAAUACGGAGGAGCCGAGCGUUAUCCGGAUUUAUUGGGUUUAAAGGGAGCGUAGAUGGGUUGUUAAGUCAGUUGGGAAAGUUUGCGGCUCAACCGUAAAAUUGCAAUUGAUACUGGCAGUCUUGAGUACAGUAGAGGUAGGCGGAAUUCGUGGUGUAGCGGUGAAAUGCUUAGAGAUCACGAAGAACCCCGAUUGCGAAGGCAGCUUACUAGACUGUGACUGACAGUGAUGCUCGAAAGUGUGGGUAUCAAACAGGAUUAGAUACCCUUGUAGUC
rnacentral:rRNA from 1 species